rnacentral:rRNA from 1 species
AGCGAACGCUGGCGGCAGGCCUAACACAUGCAAGUCGAACGGACCCUUCGGGGUUAGUGGCGGACGGGUGAGUAACACGUGGGAACGUGCCUUUAGGUUCGGAAUAGCUCCUGGAGACGGGUGGUAAUGUCGAAUGUGCCCUUCGGGGGAAAGAUUUAUCGCCUUUAGAGCGGCCCGCGUCUGAUUAGCUAGUUGGUGAGGUAAUGGCUCACCAAGGCGACGAUCAGUAGCUGGUCUGAGAGGAUGACCAGCCACAUUGGGACUGAGACACGGCCCAAACUCCUACGGGAGGCAGCAGUGGGGAAUCUUGCGCAAUGGGCGAAAGCCUGACGCAGCCAUGCCGCGUGGAUGAUGAAGGUCUUAGGAUUGUAAAAUCCUUUCACCGGUGAAGAUAAUGACUGUAGCCGGAGAAGAAGCCCCGGCUAACUUCGUGCCAGCCGCCGCAGUAA